rnacentral:rRNA from 11 species
CUCCACAAUGAUACUAUCCUAAACAUACCCAAUCUUAUUAGAUCUGAGAAAGUAAAGCAGGAUCAGACCUUGUAAGCACACGGAUGAGAUUCCAACAGGGUGUUCCAAAUAUUAGGAGC